rnacentral:rRNA from 1 species
GACGAGCCACACAAACGUUAUUCGGAAUCACUGGGCUUAAAGGGUGCGUAGGCUGCGCGGAAAGUGGGGUGUGAAAUCCCUCAGCUCAACUGAGGAACUGCGCUCCAAACUACCGUGCUUGAGUGAGACAGAGGUAAGCGGAACUUCGGGUGGAGCGGUGAAAUGCGUUGAUAUCCGAAGGAACACCGGUGGCGAAAGCGGCUUACUGGGUCUCAACUGACGCUGAUGCACGAAAGCUAGGGUAGCAAACGGG